CCCAUUUCUAAGAAAGGGUAAAGUGUGAC
rnacentral:piRNA from 1 species